CAUUUUUCUCAUGCCAUAACCGUAUAUGGAGAUGGAAGACAUGGCUAUGGUUUUUAAAACUUCCAAGCUUGAUUAGCAAGGAAAAUCAAAAUUCGGGCUAAAAUUGACAAAAUGCCAAGUUGUGGACAAAAUGGUAAAAAUGACCAUUUUCGCAUACGAGUAUUGGCAGGUUGGCUCGGGGUUGGAGAUCGUCGGAGGCAGAAUCACACUAUCAAGCUAUCAUUUUUGGGAGAAUUAAUUCAAAUAUUAGAAAUAUCAAGUGAGUGGCAUGUAUAGAAAGCUAGUUUUAUGACAUGUAUUAUUAUUAUGAUUUGGCCUAACCUAUUGAUCUACGUUGAGUUAUCGUAUAUGGCCAUGGGAUGUGGUCCAUAUUCACUAUGGUUUGUAAGCUUAAUUAAUCAUGUCAUGUUCUAUGUUUCUGGUGUGACGAGGUAGUUAGCUUUGUUUGUUGUGCA